rnacentral:rRNA from 1 species
UACGUAGGGUGCAAGCAUUAAUCGGAAUUAUUGGGCGUAAAGCGCGCGUAGGCGGAUUUGUAAGUCAGGGGUGAAAUCCCGGGGCUCAACCUCGGAACUGCCUUUGAUACUGCAAGUCUCGAGUCCGGAAGAGGUGAGUGGAAUUCCUAGUGUAGAGGUGAAAUUCGUAGAUAUUAGGAAGAACACCAGUGGCGAAGGCGGCUCACUGGUCCGGUACUGACGCUGAGGUGCGAAAGCGUGGGGAGCAAACAGG